GGGGCGCUCUCCCCGCGUGGGGCGCCCGACCCGCCGGGGCCACGUGCCGCGGCGCACGCCGGCGUGCGCGGGGAGAAUGGGCCCCGUGCCACGUGAAGGACGGCUCGUGCGUUCCGGCUCAGCCUCGGUCUGGCGCUUCUACAGGGUCAGGGGGUGCCGCCGAACGGGUUCGCGCGCGCCCGGUACGUGGCCCGGCAGAGCCGGCCGACCAGCCAGCGCCGUGCGCCGCGGCGCGCGGCGGCGCGCGGUCCGGUGCGCGCGGCGGCGCACGCGGGCGCGCCAAAAAAGUGGCCUGGUCCUAGGUCGUUUUAUGUCCACGCGUUGCAUUUGUGGGGAUCCGGCUCUGGGUAGGUGUGGGAACGAUAAAAACCGUCGGCCCCCGCCGGCGCGCACGGCGUCCUGUUGCCUUCGGAGCCCCCGCCGGGCGCUGUGGCGGGCGGCACGUGCCUUUAGGGGUCGCCCGCUGGCCCCCGCAAGCGUGCGCACGUGCGGCGCGUGCGGCACAGCCGUUCCGCGCCGCGCCGUGCGCCGCGGCGCGCGCAGCCGCGCGCGCGGUGAAUGGGUCCCGUGCCAGGUGAAGGACGGCUCGUGCGUUCUGGCUCCGCCUCGGUCUGGCGCUUCCACAGGGUCAGGGGGUGCCGCCGAACAGGUUCGCACGCGCCCGGCACGUGGCCCGGCAGAGCCGGCCGACCAGCCAGCGCCGUGCGCCGCGGCGCGCGGUCCGGCGCACGCGGGCGCGCCAAAAAAGUGGCCUGGUCCUGGGUCGUUUUAUGUCCACGCGUUGCAUUUGUGGGGAUCCGGCUCUGGGUAGGUGUGGGAACGAUAAAAACCGUCGGCCUCCGCCGGCGCGCACGGCGUCCUGUUGCCUUCGGAGCCCCCGCCGGGCGCUGUGGCGGGCGGCACGUGCCUUCAGGGGUCGCCCGGUGGCCCCCGUCGGCGUGCGCACGUGCGCCACAGCCGUGCCGCGCCGCGCCGUGCGCCGCGGCACGCGCCGGCGCGCGCGCGGCUGCCGAUCCGGCGCGCGCGGCGGCGCUCGCGGGCGCGCCAAAAAAGUGGCCUGGUCCUGGGUCGUUUUAUGUCCACGCGUUGCAUUUGUGGGGAUCCGGCUCUGGGUAGGUGUGGGAACGAGAAAAACCGUCGGCCCCCGCCGGCGCGCCCGGCGUCCUGUUGCCUUCGCGAGCCCCCGCCGGGCGCUGUGGCGGGCGGCACGUGCCUUUGGGGGUCGCCCGGUGGCCCCCGUCGUGCGCGUGCGCACGUGCGCCACAGCCGUGCCGCGCCGCGCCGUGCGCCGCGGCACGCGCCGGCGCGCGCGCGGCUGCCGAUCCGGCGCGCGCGGCGGCGCUCGCGGGCGCGCCAAAAAAGUGGCCUGGUCCUGGGUCGUUUUAUGUCCACGCGUUGCAUUUGUGGGGAUCCGGCUCUGGGUAGGUGUGGGAGCGAUAGAACCGUCGGCCUCCGCCGGCGCGCCCGGCGUCCUGUUGCCUUCGCGAGCCCCCGCCGGGCGCUGUGGCGAGCGGCACGUGCCUGUAGGGUCGCCCGGUGGCCCCCGUCGGCGCUCGCACGUGCGCACGUGCACACGUGCGCCGCGGCACGCGCCGGCGCGCUUGGCGGCCGAUCCGGUGCGCGCGACGGCGCACGCGGGCGUGUCCAAAAAGUGGCCUGGUCCUGGGUCGUUUUAUGUCCACGCGUUGCUUUUCUGGGGAUCCAGCUCUGGGUACUUGUGGGAGAACCGGGAGACCCCUCGAGAUGGUCGUAGUUUCGCGCACGGCGUCCCGCCGCGUCCCUGGCCGUCCGCUGACCCCCCGUCCGACGUCGACGGGCCCCUCUGGGGGCCUCCGACGCACGGACGCGCGCGGGCGCGGCGCCGGGUCGCCUCGGGCACGUGACGGCGCGUGAGUAGUGGUCUGCGCGUUGCGCCUGCGGCCUCCCCUGCCCGAGUGCAGCCGACCGCGGGCGCGGGUCGCGUCUCGUUCGUCCCCCGGAUGCCCGGAGGGCUCGCCCCCCCUCGUGGUCUGUACCGCCUAGCCGGAAUGCGGCAACCUCGGAACCCCGACGACUCGGCGCCGGCUCUCCCCCUCCCCCAGCGGGCGGGCGAGAGGCGGCCGGUCGCGGCCCCCCGUGCGUCCCCCGACUCGCCCCGCGCGUGU
rnacentral:rRNA from 1 species